UCCUGCCUCAGACUCCCAAGUAGCUGGGAUUAAAAGCGCUCCUUGGAUUAGAGACCAUCCUGAGGACAUCCUUGGGAGCCAUGUGCUGAAGAUGGCCAAGCCACAGGAUGAAAGGAGCUGCAUCUUUGAGUCACCACUGGAGAAAGGUCUCUCUAAAUGGAUUUGCAGAGACGUCUUCUCGAAUACUCCCCUUCUAAGUUCCACUUGUAAUCCACUUCUUCUAUUCUCCCAGCAAUCAAUGUGGUUUGGGGAAAUUCCAGAAUCUCAUAAUACCUUGGUCAUGGGUAAAUAAGGAAAGGACCUUUACAUACAUGUGAUGCAAAGCAGAUCAAAACAAGCAGAGCAGCCUAAGAGCAGCAAGACCCCAAAGGAUAAGGGAAGUCCUGCAGAAGAGCAGAGCGGUGCUGCAAAGGCAGGCAGGUAAGGUAAGCAGACAGGGCCAUCAGGAUGGAUCCUUUGGGCAUGCCAGCAUCCACCAGGGACUGGUAGAGCUAUUUAGAGAAACUGAUAAAAAGCUCUGCCAACUACAGUCACAAAAGAUGGAGCUCAGAAUGAUGAGUAGAUGCCUAAAACAUCUCCAUUUUGUUGAUGAAGAAAGUAAAGUUUAUAGAGCUUAGAUUAUUUGCUUUUGUACCUAGCACAGUACUUAGUUUAUAGUAGAUGCACAAUAAGUAUUUGUUUAAUGAGUGAAUGAGUCACUAGCCUAAGACCUUUAAUAUAACAUGCUUAAACCUGCUACCAGGGAUUGGGAACUCACCUAUUUAGUAGUGAGUAGAGGGGUGUGGUACUGGUACUUAAGACAGAUGCAUUGUGGUUGGGUAUGGUGUGUUUUUGUUUUUGUUUUGAGACAGGUUCUCCCUCUGUUGCCCAGGCUGAGAUGCAGUGGCAUUAUCAUGGCUCACUGCAGCCUUAACCUCCCGGGGCUCAAGCGAUCCUCCCACCUCAGCCUCUGAGUAGCUGGGACCACAGGUACGCAUCACCGUGCCUGGCUAAUUUUGUUUUUUGUUUGUUUGUUUUGUAGGGACGGGAUUUUGCCAUGUUGCCCAGGUUGGUCUCGAACUCCUGGGCUCAAGCUACACCCGCCCGCCUCGGCCUCCCAAAGUUGUAGGAUUAAGGUGUGAGCCACUGUGUCCAGCAGAUAUAAUGUUUUUAAAAGUUUGAGAGUUAAUAUGCUCUCUGGUGUGCCCUAGGUCCCACUACUCCUAUUGCCUUAAAACUCACGCAGUACACAUUUGUCUUCCAUGGGCUUCAGUUGUAAGAGAACCCUUUCUACUCUUUGCUGUUCACAAGUCUCCUUUUAAACAGAGCUUGUUCCCAAUGCUGUUUUGUUUUGCCCUCUGCCAUGUUCUUCCGGCCAUCACCUCCUGUGGGGAAAAGAGAGAGAGAUCACAUUGUUACUGUGUCUGUGUAGAAAGAAGUAGACAUAGGAGACUCCAUUUUGUUCUGUACUAAGAAAAAUUCUUCUGCCUUGAGAUGCUGUUAAUCUAACCCUAGCCCCAACCCUGUGCUCCCUGAGACAUAUGCUGUGUCAACUCAGGGUUAAAUGGAUUAAGGGCUGUGCAAGAUGUGCUUUGUUAAAGAAAUGCUUGAAGGCAGCAUGCUCGUUAAGAGUCAUCUCCACUCCCUAAUCUCAAGUACUCAGGGACACAAAACACUGAGGAAGGCCACAGGGACCUCUGCCUAGGAAAGCCAGGUAUUGUCCAAGGUUUCUCCCCAUGUGAUAGUCUGAAAUGUGGCCUCGUGGGAAGGGAAAGACCUGACCGUCCCCCAGCCCGACACCCGUAAAGGGUCUGUGCUGAGGAGGAUUAGUAAAAGAGGAAGGAACGCCUCUUUGCAGUUGAGACAAGAGGAAGGCAUCUGUCUCCUGCUCGUCCCUGGGCAAUGGAAUGUCUCAGUGUAAAACCCGAUUGUAUAUUCCAUCUACUGAGAUAGGGGAAAACUGCCUUAGGGCUGGAGGUGGGACAUGCUGGCAGCAAUACUGCUCUUCAAGUCAUUGAGAUGUUUAUGUGUAUGCAUAUCUAAAGCACAGCACUUAAUUCUUUACCUUGUUUAUGAUGCAGAGACCUUUGUUCACGUGUUUACCUGCUGACCUUCUCUCCACUAUUAUCCUUUGACCCUGCCACAUCCCCCUCUCCGAGAAACACCCAAUAAUGAUCAAUAAAUACUAAGGGAACUCAGAGGCCGGUGGGAUCCUCCGUAUGCUGAACACCGGUCCCCUGGACCCCUUUUUUUCUUUCUCU
rnacentral:lncRNA from 1 species